GAUGAACGCUGGCGGCGUGCCUAGUACAUGCAAGUCGAGCGAACGGACGAGAAGCUUGCUUCUCUGAUGUUAGCGGCGGACGGGUGAGUAACACGUGGAUAACCUACCUAUAAGACUGGGAUAACUUCGGGAAACCGGAGCUAAUACCGGAUAAUAUUUUGAACCGCAUGGUUCAAAAGUGAAAGACGGUCUUGCUGUCACUUAUAGAUGGAUCCGCGCUGCAUUAGCUAGUUGGUAAGGUAACGGCUUACCAAGGCAACGAUGCAUAGCCGACCUGAGAGGGUGGUAGGCCACACGGGAACUGAGCCACGGUCCAGACUCCUACGGGAGGCAGCAGUAGGGAAUCUUCCGCAAUGGGCGAAAGCCUGACGGAGCAACGCCGCGUGAGUGAUGAAGGUCUUCGGAUCGUAAAACUCUGCUAUUAGGGAAGAACAUAUGUGUAAGUAACUGUGCACAUCUUGACGGUACCUAAUCAGAAAGCCACGGCUAACUACGUG
rnacentral:rRNA from 1 species